CCCACGCCACAUCCCUCGUCGGCUGCCCCGCCCCCGCUACCCCGCCCCGCCCUGCAUGGCCGCCGCCGUCCCCGCCGGAGACCCCCUCCUGCUCGCACCGCCUGCAGUCAUCGUCCCUUGUCCGCUGUCGGAGACCUGUGCGGCCGUCUGCUUCACUACCCCCGGGCAUGACACGGUUCUGCUCGCCGCGGCGUCUCCCGUCCGUUGUUGGAGGCUGCCGGAGACCUGCGCGCCAUCUACCUCAGUGCCAUCGGGCGCGACAUGGUUCUGCUCGCCGCGGCAUCUCAUGCACGUCGUCGCCGAGCUGCACCCCCGCAAGCUGGCAAGGUCAGAUGAAAAUUGUUCAAAAAGAUAGACAAGUAUAACCUCACGUUGCAAAGGUGAGUGAGUGCUUCAUGUCAAACAAACUUUGAGAUCACCUCCUGUUGACUAUUGAUGAUCCAUUUCUUGGUCCACCUACUUUCGCAAAUUCUCAGCUUUAUACCUAAAUAGAUGGAAGUAAAAAAUAAUUAGAUGGAAACUAAGGUCAAAAAUAGAUGGAAGUUGCAAUUAUUAAUGCACAAUACAAUAGAUGGAAGUUGAAAUACAUGGAAACUAUGGUCCUAUACAUUUUUUUUGUUCCAGUGUCUCUGCUUGAUGUCAAACAAACUUUGAGAUCAUCUCCUGUUGACUAUUAAUGAUCCAUUUCUUGGUCGACCUACUUUCGCAAUUCUCAGCUUUAUACAUAAAUAGAUGAAAGUGAAAAAAUAAAUAAAUAGAUGGAAACUAAGGUAAAAAAUACAUGGAAGUUGCAUUCUUAAUGCACAAUACAAUAGAUGGAAGUUGAAAUACAUGGAAACUGUGGUCGUGCACUUUUUUUUUGUUUCUAGUGUCUCUAUCAUUUGUGUUUGCAAAACGCAGAUGGGUAAGAAUAUUCGAGGUGAUAUUCGAGAUGCACAUCGGUUUGCCUCAGGGGAACGUUCCCCGUUGCAGGACGUAACAAACUCACCUCUAAAUGGAAAUGCGGAGAGUAAUUCUGCUGCUCAAAAUAAAAGUGGCCAAUCAUGGUACACCAGAUUGUCUGAUGACAAGAAAGCAGAGAUCCCCGAGAAGCGUCGUGUCCCCCGGCAACAGAAGAAGGUUGCGUCCGUACGAAGUCUAAACCAUGCCCAGGAAUCAGAGGCACGUGCUUCUUCUAUAAGGUCUUAGCAAUGUAUCCCUUUGGCCAACAUCACCAACACACAUAUAGAUGUUACAGUAUGUACGGCUGCAAGCUCCGCUGGUAUUGUUCAUCUUCAACAAGACAACAUUUCAGGCAGAAAAAGAAGUGGACAAAGUUGGUAUGCCGGGCUAUCCGACGAGCGGUGGGCUGAGUACAUAAACAAACAGAAGAUGGCCCGAAUCGCACGGAAAGCUGCCUCUGCCAGGGUGAAUGUCCAAGUGCCUACAUCAUCUGCCCCACAAGCUUCAUCUGCUCAUACCUCUGGUCGGGUAAGCUAUGGUGGUCGUGAACAUCAAUUGCAGGAAAUAGUAGGACAAUGCAACAAACAUAAUGGUAAUGAAGGUGAUGACUUCGAAUCAUACAGAGUGACAACUGAUGGUUCGCAUAGGCUCGAGACUCAUGAUCCUUACGACUACGUCUACCACAAUCUACCCAACAAGCAUCAUGUUUUGAAGCCAGUAAAAGACUGUAUCCAUUGUGGAGCAAUGAGGUUCCAGUAUGAAGGUCCAGACUUCUGUUGCAGAAAAAGUAAGCUCAAGGUAUUUAUCCCAGAGGUUCCUCAAGAUCUACAAUGAUUGUUUACAAGUCAGAUCGACAUGGAUGCAAAGUACUUUAGAAAGCACAUUCACUGUUUCAACUCCCAUUUCUCCUUCGUGAGCCUUGGAGUUGCCCUUGAUAAUUGGAUCAACACCGCGGCAAGAACCGGUGUAUACACCUUCCGUGCUCACGGUCAGUUGUACCACCGUCUAGACCAUCUUGUACCAGGUGAUCACAGACCUAGGCAUUUGCAGUUGUACAUUUAUGAUACAGAUGAAUCCUUGGAGCAUAGGAUGAAACGCUCUCCAGAUCUAGAUAUCAACCUCAUACGCAAGAUUCUGCGUAUACUGAAGAACAACCCGUAUGUCGAGACUUUUAAGAGCGUUGGUUCAAUUCCCAACCUAUCAGAAUAUAAAAUUACACUAAACACAAACAUAAAAUUGGAAAAACGGAGGUACAAUGCCCCUACAGCUUCUCAGGUGGGUGCAAUGUGGGUGGAAGGUAGUGACUCGCAACACACUUUCGAUAGAAGUGUUAUAGUGCAUCAGAGCCUAUUAUGAAUGCUAUGAUCCUUUAGAGUACCCAUUAUUUUAACCGGCUGGGGAGACGGGAUGGAACCGUUGGCUGCCAUAUGAGGGACCAACUUCCGCUCAAGCAGGCAAUGAGGAUGAAAAUGACAACUAGGACGAUGAACAAGAAGCAGGUAAAGGUGUCAUAACAAUUGGUGAUCCAUCCAUGAAUUCCUGCAAUCUUUAGUAGUGGCAUUAUUCAUAAUUCGUUGUCGCAACCAUCUUGUAGAUGACAACGAAAAACAAGAUGAGGAUGAAGCCACUGAGUCUAGAAAAUAUGUCAAUGUGAGGGAGUAUUACUGUUUCAAGUUGCAGAUCAGGGAAGAAAUUUUUAACAUCCUAUUGCAUGGGGAGGCGUCCUCUGCAACAGUGGUUUGUUGACAUGUACAUCAAAAUGGAGACUAUGAGGCUUGAUUUCUACUGGAAGCCUCAGAAUCAAAAACUCAUACGUGCAGGUAACAAAAAUCUCGCCAGCCUCAUGUAUGUUACUGAAUAACUAGAAUUAAACAUUAACCAAUUAUGACCCUAAUGUAUAGUUUUGUUGGUUAUCAUGCUUGUAUUCCAAAAGCAAGAACCAAUUAUGAGCCUAAUUACUUCUGGAGAGACGCGUGCUACUCAGAUUGGAAAAAGAAUCAUGCUCCCUCAGACUUUUCCGGGAGGUGAUCGAGACAUGCGACAAAGAUUCCUUGAUGCGAUGGUCGUCAUCCAAAGAUACGGAAAGCCUGAUUACUUAAUCACUAUGACUUGCAACCUUUACUGAGAGGAGAUAACUUCUAGACUUGCAUCCAGACAAACACCACAAGACCGUCCUGACCUGGUGGCCAGAGUAUAUAGGGCCAAGAUGCGGAGUCUGAAAGAUCUUAUGAUAAAAAAGAAGUACUUUGGCCUGACUGUGGAGUAUGCUCAUGUUACCGAGUUCCAAAAAAGGGGGUAUUCCGCAUGAGCACUUCCUGCUGAUCAUGGCCUCAGAUAAUAAGCUAACAAAUCCAGACGCCUAUGAUAGGGUAAUCACGGCACUGAACCCUAGCCGUGAGAAGUACCUUGUGUUGCAUGGACUGGUUAUCAAGCAUAUGCUCCACGGCCCAUGUGGUACUCUCCAGAAGAAUUGUUCUUGCGUGAUAGAUGGAAAUUGUCAUUUUUGUUACCCUCGACAGUUUUGCCCUGCAACACAACAAGGAAAGGACUCAUACCCUAUAUAUAGGAGAAGGGAUGAUGGCCGCCGAGUAAAAGUUAGGAAUGCAGUGUUGGACAACAACUGGUUGUCCCAUACAACCCCAGACUGCUUAUGAGAUAUAAUUGUCACAUUAAUGUUGAAGCUUGCUCGAGCAUAAAGGCAGUCAAAUAUUUGUACAAGUACAUAUACAAGGGGCAUGUUCGUGCUUCCAUCUCAGUUGACCCAGCGGCAACUAAUGGUUGUGUGAUAAAUGAGAUUCGGCAAUACAGGGAUGCAAGGUUUGUAACACCACCAGAGUCUAUGUACAGGAUAUGUGCUUUCCGUAUGUUUGGUGUAUCUCCUGCUGUGUUGCAAUUACAGCUGCAUUUGUCCAACAUGCAUACUGUUGCAUUCAACGAUACUAAUAACCUAGAGGAUGUCAUGAACCGACCGUCCUCUUCCAAAACCAUGCUCACAGAAUACUUUAGAAUGAAUGAGGUGGACCCUUAUGCACGAAACUUCUUGUAUAAAGAGUUCCCAGAAUUCUUUCGAUGGAUUAAGGGUAAGAAAAAGUGGCAGAAAAGAAGCCAAAGGGGCAAGGCACAAGUUGGAAGGAUUGUUUAUGCACACCCUACUAAUGGUGAGAGGUAAUUCCUGAGAGUGCUUUUGAAUCAUAGAAGAGGUGCCACUUCAUAUGAGGAUUUGAGAACUGUAAAUGGAAGGCUUUGCUCGACCUUCAGGGAAGCGUGCGAUCUCAUGGGCCUAAUAGAGACUGACAAAUCUCUAGAUGAUUGCCUGACUGGG